AAUACGGAGGGUGCAAGCGUUAUCCGGAAUCAUUGGGUUUAAAGGGUCCGUAGGCGGACUAUUAAGUCAGAGGUGAAAUCCCACAGCUCAACUGUGGAACUGCCUUUGAUACUGGUAGUCUUGAGUUAUAUGGAAGUAGAUAGAAUGUGUAGUGUAGCGGUGAAAUGCAUAGAUAUUACACAGAAUACCGAUUGCGAAGGCAGUCUACUACGUAUAUACUGACGCUAAGGGACGAAAGCGUGGGGAGCGAACAGGAUUAGAAACCCUAGUAGUCC
rnacentral:rRNA from 1 species